rnacentral:sRNA from 1 species
AACCCCCAGCUAGGCUGGGGCUUCCGGAAAGGUUUCAGCUUUAAGCCAGUUAUUAAAACCCCUUUUGAUUUGUUAAAAC